UCGGCCCCCGCGGGGCCAGCCGCCCCCGGCCGCUUACCUUGGCCUGGCAUUUCCGAUGACAGGAGAAGCUGCAGACUGCAAGGAGGCGAGACACAGAAAGAAAGUUUAGCCGCGAGAGCCACCUGACCCCAAAUACUGGACUGCCACAGCCAGCUCCCCCAUCUCCUGGAUCUUGAAUUCCCCCUGUCCAGCAUGAGGCCUCCUCAUUCUCAGCAGAACUCAGAAGAGGAGACCGAGGCACACAUGAAGGCUAGGAGAGUCCCAGGACCUCACCACACUCAGUCUUCUGUUGUGGUGUUUCCUUCUGUGGGCCAUGACUGCAGUGUUGAGAUACUCGCCAGGAGCAGCAGAGGCAGGAGAAAUAACAGGAGAGGAGGGAGAGAACGCCAGAGAAGCCCAGAGUGAAGACUUGCCAGGAGCUUGGAAGCCUGCAGUCUCCUGCCCCCUCUACCCCACCAUGUAGCCCAGCCUGCCCUGUGCCUGGUUGCUGCACUAUAUGUAAAAGCUCAGUAAAAGCCUGAGAAAGCCACCGAGGCUCCAGAAUUCCUCCACCCAUCAGCCGGAUCA